rnacentral:rRNA from 1 species
CCUACGGGUGGCAGCAGUGGGGAAUAUUGGGCAAUGGGCGCAAGCCUGACCCAGCAACGCCGCGUGAAGGAAGACGGCUUUCGGGUUGUAAAAUUCUUUUCUCAGGGACGCAGAAAGUGACGGUACCAGCGUAAUAAGCCACGGCUAACUACAGGCCAGCACUCGCGCUAAUACGUAGGCGGCAAUCGUUCUCCGGAUUGAUUGGGUGUAAAGGGCUUGUAGGCGGGAGCGCAAGUCAGAUGUGAAAACUCAGGGCUCAACCCUGAGCCUGCAUUUGAAACUGGGUUUCUUGAGUGCUGGAGAGGCAAUCGGAAUUCGGGGGGUAGCGGUGAAAUGCGUAGAUAUACGGAGGAACACCAGUUGCGAAGGCGGAUUGCUGGAGAGUAACUGACGCUGAGGCGCGAAAGUGUGGGGAGCAAACAGGAUUAGAUACCCGAGUAGUC